CAGAUCCAGACUCCUCCGGCGUGGGCGGGCGUGAGAUCCCCGACAGCACGGCCCUAGCAGCGGCCACCCCCGGUGGGCACGGCUUGUGCGCGACCGUCCCGGCCUGUGCGCGGGCGCGGCGUGGCCCUUGACGGCGCGCUGGCAAGCGCCCUGCUGGUGCACAGGCGGGCAGCCACGACGGCGCGCGAGCGAGGACCCCCGGCGACGCGUGGCCCCGGCUCCGAUCCAGUCUCGUCCGGCGGGCGCGGGCCCUGCCCCGGCGGCUCCCCGUGACCCUGGUGCAUGUCUACGAACAACGGGUAUGGAUGAAGCAAAUUCACUUUUUCCAACCAAUCGUUGGUUGCCCACAUUUUUUCUCCAGGUAACAGUAGAAUCCAAGGCUACACAAGAUAUGCAUGCGUCCCGACAGCGAGGUAAAUAUACGAUAAUUAGACUCCCUGCGAUCUUUAAGGUAGUGUUUGGUUGAGGAGCCAAGUAGAACGGAGCCGUUCCAUUCCUGAUUCUAGGAACGGAGCCGCUCUGUUCUGUGUUUGGUAAUCUGGAACGGAGCGUCUCUAUUUUUUGUUUGGUUACAGAGUGAACGGAACAGAGCGUGACUAUGAGAGCGGGAUGGGAACGGAGCGGCUCCGUCCGGUUGAUUUUUUGGAGCGGAAUGGUUCCGGAUCUGAGGAGAAUAUUCCCUAAUUGGAGUCAUUCCGUUCUAGUUACUUUGUAACCAAACAGCAAUAAAACUGGGACAGAACGACUCCGUUCUACUUGGCUCUUCAACCAAACACUAUCUAAAAAUCCCAUUUCGUGCUAUGUCGUGCAUGUCAGUGUGCUGCAACUGCAGGGCCAUGCAGGAAGAUGUUCCAUAGUGCUGGAGGUGAAGAGGUCAUUGAUCGACCAUCUCUCUCUCGCAACGACAUUGUAGGCAUCGUCACACAUCAUCUGAAGCCAACCUUUUGGCAACGUAUUCCGAGCACUCACUAACCUACAUAGCAUUAUUUCUGUUCAGAUCAUUCCAGUUUUGGUCCCGACAGAAAUGUGCGCGCGCUGGCUGUUAGCAUCAGCUCUGCCACCAGCAACAUGUCCGCUAGUAGUCCAGCAAAUGUCAUGGUUGAACAACCCCAAUGAUCAGCUAUGAGAAGAAAUGACACGUAUCUUUCACACGCACAUAGGAGCCAUACGAAGAACGUACUAAUGAAAAGAUCGAUGAAUUAUAUUGAUAUGAUAUGACGUGAGUGUUUUGAAAUGUUUGGUAGGUUCUGUUUAUAUGGAUUUUUGUAUGUAAGACUGCAUUGUUCUUUUGUAUGAGGCUGCAUAUGACGAGGCGAUGUCUAGUCAGCACGGACCAGACUAUGACUGGAGGACCUCACCUAUUGAUCCUCAGGCUAUGUAUGUAAGUGGUGGAAAAGCUCAUAGAAGGUACACAAUGUUUGCUAACGUCAUCAACUCGAGCCAGGUGAGGGUUCGGCGUGGAGGUUCGUCAAGGUCUGCUACUCGUAGCUCCCAUCGCUCCAUGUUAUGGUGAUCGGCGACCGUGAGCUUCAUGUUAUUGUGUUCUCAUACUUGAGACUUUUAUUAUGACUAUGUAUGAUAUAGUGUCUCUUAUUAGUACUGGAUGAUAUGUGUCUUAUUAUGACUAUGGAUGAGACUUUUGUGAUGUAAUUGAUGAGACUAUGGAUUUAAUU